GCGUCCUUGUGUUGUUUGCCGACUGUUUUUAUUCAAAGUCUGUGAUUGUCAGAAAGGACCAAUAUUAAAUUCCAUUUCCUUUUCCAGAGGAAAGUGUUUUUGUAACGUUUUCUCUUCAGAAAAAUGGAACACAU
rnacentral:snoRNA from 1 species